rnacentral:rRNA from 1 species
AUGAACGCUGGCGGCGUGCCUAAUACAUGCAAGUCGAGCGAACAGACGAGGAGCUUGCUCCUCUGACGUUAGCGGCGGACGGGUGAGUAACACGUGGAUAACCUACCUAUAAGACUGGGAUAACUUCGGGAAACCGGAGCUAAUACCGGAUAAUAUAUUGAACCGCAUGGUUCAAUAGUGAAAGACGGUUUUGCUGUCACUUAUAGAUGGAUCCGCGCCGCAUUAGCUAGUUGGUAAGGUAACGGCUUACCAAGGCAACGAUGCGUAGCCGACCUGAGAGGGUGAUCGGCCACACUGGAACUGAGACACGGUCCAGACUCCUACGGGAGGCAGCAGUAGGGAAUCUUCUGCAAUGGGCGAAAGCUUGACGGAGCAACGCCGCGUGAGUGAUGAAGGUCUUCGGAUCGUAAAACUCUGUUAUUAGGGAAGAACAAAUGUGUAAGUAACUAUGCACGUCUUGACGGUACCUAAUCAGAAAGCCACGGCUAACUACGUG